CAGUAGCCGCGGGAAUACGUAGGGUGCGAGCGUUAAUCGGAAUUACUGGGCGUAAAGCGCACGUAGGCGGCUUUGUAAGUUAGAGGUGUAAGCCUGGAGCUCAACUCCAGAAUUGCCUUUAAGACUGCAUCGCUUGAAUCCAGGAGAGGUGAGUGGAAUUCCGAGUGUAGAGGUGAAAUUCGUAGAUAUUCGGAAGAACACCAGUGGCGAAGGCGGCUCACUGGACUGGUAUUGACGCUGAGGUGCGAAAGCGUGGGGAGCAAACAGGAUUAGAUACCCGCGUAGUCCCUGUCUCUUAUAC
rnacentral:rRNA from 1 species